UACGUAGGGUGCAAGCGUUAUCCGGAAUUAUUGGGCGUAAAGAGCUCGUAGGCGGUUUGUCGCGCCUGCUGUGAAAACUGGAGGCUCAACCUCCAGCCUGCAGUGGGUACGGGCAGACUAGAGUGCGGUAGGGGAGAUUGGAAUUCCUGGUGUAGCGGUGGAAUGCGCAGAUAUCAGGAGGAACACCGAUGGCGAAGGCAGAUCUCUGGGCCGUAACUGACGCUGAGGAGCGAAAGCAUGGGGAGCGAACAGG
rnacentral:rRNA from 1 species